rnacentral:rRNA from 1 species
AACGGCCAUACCAUGCUGAAUAUACCGGUUCUCGUUAGAUCACCGAAGUUCAAGCAUCAUUGGGCGCGGUCAGUACUUGGGUGGGUGACCACCUGGGAACACCACGUGCCGUU